rnacentral:rRNA from 1 species
GACGGAAGGUGCAAGCGUUGCUCGGAAUCACUGGGCGUAAAGGGUGCGUAGGCGGCUGUGUAAGUCUGGCGUGAAAGCCCCGGGCUCAGCCCGGGAAGUGCGCUCGAAACUGCGCGGCUCGAGUCCGGGAGAGGUGAGUGGAACUGCGAGUGUAGAGGUGAAAUUCGUAGAUAUUCGCAAGAACACCAGUGGCGAAGGCGGCUCACUGGCCCGGUACUGACGCUGAGGUGCGAAAGCGUGGGGAGCAAACAGG